GCGACCCCAGGUCAGGCGGGACUACCCGCUGAAUUUAAGCAUAUCAAUAAGCG
rnacentral:rRNA from 1 species